rnacentral:lncRNA from 1 species
GCAGUGAGGCCCACCGACCAGGAGUUGGUUGAGCGUCCCUGAUUAGGACGCUAACUGCAAAGUAUACGGUGACUACAUGUCAUUCAACACAACAUUCAAUACCAAUUUGUAUGGCAUGCCAUUCUUGCCGAGUAGCACCAGUAGACCUGGGUUUGACUCCCUAUGGGAGCGAAUUUAAAUCGUUCUGCAUUAUCAAAAAAUGAAAAAAUAGGCUGGGGUUUCCCUUGCUAACUUCGGUCUAAAAAAUCGGUGUCAAUAAACAUGCCAAGACAAUACUCUUUGGUUGUGUGCUUCUAAAGGAUCAAACUAUUGGCACAUUUGAGUAGCUAUUCUAUACAUUGUUAACAACAUGAUAACACAAUACUCUUUGGUUGUGCACUUUUAAAGGAUCAAACUAUUGGCACAUUUGACUAACUAUUCGAUACAUUGUUGACUGCAAAUGAUGAAAAGAUGCUAAGUACAAUAAUAACCGACCAAGAUCAGUCCAUUGCGAGCACCAUCCGGUGGUUGGCUACAGAGGUACAAAAACGGUAAUAAUCCCUUUCAACUUUCCACACUCCCACAUUUAUUAUCAUCAUUUUAUACCUAGGUUAUGGAAAAUAAACUUAAAAAGGUGACUACCUAAACACUGGAUGAGUUUUGAGUAAACUUGCAUAUUCUUUUUAUUUUGCUUUAGCGUUUUGAUAAUCCUUCUUUUCAUUAUAAUGUUGUAUAUAUUUAAUAACCUUUAUUAUUUGUCGAUGAACUGUGCAUGUUUUAUCGUAAAUGCAGGUGGUACAACAUAUUAAAACUUGGGUUUCGAAUACAGAGAGUAGAUUGGAGAGAGCUUGAUAGU